rnacentral:tRNA from 1 species
GCCUUCGUGGUGUAAUGGUCAGCACACUCGGCGCGUAUUCGAGAGGUCCGAGGUUCGAGUCCCGGCGAGGCA